UAAAGAUAAAAACACAGUCCCGGCUGGUAGUCCGGGCACAGCGCCGCUGUCAGUAGCCUUCCGCCUCGGUUGUCCCUUCUUUGCC
rnacentral:ncRNA from 1 species